UACAGAGGUGGCGAGCGUUGUUCGGAUUUACUGGGCGUAAAGGGUGCGUAGGCGGUCGCGCGUGUCGGGUGUGAAAUCCCACGGAUCAUCUGUGGAACGGCAUUCGAAACUGCGUGGCUAGAGUGCGGAAGAGGAAGGUGGAAUUCUCGGUGUAGCGGUGAAAUGCGUUGAUAUCGAGAGGAACGCCGGGAGCGAAGGCGACCUUCUGGUACGUAACUGACGCUGAGGCACGAAAGCUAGGGGAGCAAACAGG
rnacentral:rRNA from 1 species